GCCAGACUCCUACGGGAGGCAGCAGUGGGGAAUAUUGGACAAUGGGGGGAACCCUGAUCCAGCGACGCCGCGUGAGUGAAGAAGUAUUUCGGUAUGUAAAGCUCUAUCAGCAGGGAAGAAAGAAAUGACGGUACCUGACUAAGAAGCCCCGGCUAACUACGUGCCAGCAGCCGCGGUAAUACGUAGGGGGCGAGCGUUAUCCGGAUUCACUGGGUGUAAAGGGAGCGUAGACGGCCAUGCAAGCCAGGGGUGAAAGCCCGGGGCCCAACCCCGGGACUGCCCUUGGAACUGCAUGGCUGGAGUGCGGGAGGGGCAGGCGGAAUUCCUGGUGUAGCGGUGAAAUGCGUAGAUAUCAGGAGGAACACCGGCGGCGAAGGCGGCCUGCUGGACCGUGACUGACGUUGAGGCUCGAGAGCGUGGGGAGCAAACAGGAUUAGAUACCCGAGUAC
rnacentral:rRNA from 1 species